GCCAGGAGUGGUGGUGCACGCCUAUAAUCCUAGCAGCUCAGGAGGCUGACACAGGAGGAUCGCUAGCUCAAAACCAGCCUCAGCAACGUAUCGAGGCUUUGAGCAACUCAGUGAGACCCUGUCUCUA
rnacentral:sRNA from 1 species